rnacentral:lncRNA from 1 species
AAAGAUGGCGACCACAGCACGCUUUUCUGGUGCUAUUGCUGUUCUCGUCGUUCUCGGGAGCCUCUGUGGUCUUAGUCAACGUAAGUACGCAUGCUUCGGCUGUGAGCAUCUGCCACCGCGUCGUUCUCCGUUCGAUGAGCUUUCUUCCUUGUUUGCCUUUUUCUGCAGUGGUGGUAGCGGAAGAAGUUCAUCGGCUGGACGGUCAGCGCUCGGUUGUGGUCUCCGCGGACGAAGAGAAGGGGACCAAAAUAGUCAUCAUUCCAUGCGUGAAAAAGUGCCAUGAGAAUGACGAAUAUUGCUACUGUUGCAUAGCUGCCAAACACCUACAUUGUUAUCAGCAACUGGAGCAGUGUCAAGCGAACUGCGAAAGGUGCGAUCCCAAGUGUCCUCCCGCACCGCCGUCGAUGGAGACGCGUCCAUGACGAUCAUGGAGGACCGCCCUAGACUCUGUUACUCUGAGGGCCUUUGCUUUGGUCGAUUCUGCUUUGUGUUAGCAACAGUUCUG